rnacentral:lncRNA from 1 species
CUUCGGCACACAUAAUUGAUUUCCUUUAAAAAGAAACCCAUCUUGCAAAGAAUAUAUACCUUGAACUCCCCGCUUGCAAUUGUUGAUGAUGGAUGAGAACUCCGCAUCUUCAGAAUAAAGUUCUUUCAUUGAUUGAAAUCCAAGAAUCCUAGAGUCCAGAACCGCAAGCAUAGAAUAUCUUCUCGAUAAAGCAUCUGCUACAACAUUAGUGUGCCCCGGUUUAU